UACCAGCACCCCGAGUGGUCGGGACGAUUAUUGGGCCUAAAGCAUCCGUAGCCGGUUCUGCAAGUCCUCCGUUAAAUCCAGCUGCUCAACAGAUGGGCCGCGGAGGAUACUAUAGAGCUAGGAGGCGGGAGAGGCAAGCGGUACUUAGUGGGUAGGGGUAAAAAUCCGUUGAUCCAUUGAAGACCACCAGUGGCGAAGGCGGCUUGCCAGAACGCACUCGACGGUGAGGGAUGAAAGCUGGGGGAGCAAACCGG
rnacentral:rRNA from 1 species